AUGCAUGUCGAGCGCUCUUCAGCUAUGUAGAGAGCGCGGCGAACGGCUCAAUAACACGUAGUUAACCUACCCUCGGGAUGGGAAUAACCCCGGGAAACUGGGAUUAAUACCCACUAGAUGAUUAUACCUGGAAUGGCUUAUCAUCGAAAGAGUCUGGAAACAUGCUUCCAGCGUCGCCCGAGGAUGGGACCGCGUCCGAUCAGGCUGUUGGUGGGGUAACGGCUCACCAAACCUAUAACCGGUACGGGCCCUGAGAGGGGGAGCCCGGAGAUGGGAACUGAGACAAGGUCCCAGGCCCUACGGGGCGCAGCAGGCGCGAAACCUCCACAAUGCGCGAAAGCGUGAUGGGGUUAUCCCGAGUGCCGUCCGUUGAGGAGGGCUUUUCCCCAGUGUAAGGAGCUGGGGGAAUAAAGGGGGGGCAAGACUGGUGUCAGCCGCCGCGGUAAUACCAGCCCCCUGAGUUAUAGGGACGAUUAUUUAGCCUAAAGCGUUCGUAGCCGGCUCAGCAAGUCUUUCGUUAAAUCUAACGACUCAAUCGUUGGGCCGCGGAAGAUACUACUAGGCUUGAGGACGGGAGAGGUCGACGGUAUUCCCGGUGUAGGGGUGAAUUCCAAUAAUCCCGGGAGGACCACCAGUGGCGAAGGCGGUCGACCAGAACGUGCCUGACGGUGAUGGACGAAAGCUGGGGGAGCAAACCGGAUUAGACACCCGGGUAGUCCCAGCUGUAAACGAUGCGAGCUAGGUGUUGGGGUAGCCACGAGCUGUCCCAGUGCCGCAGAGAAGUUGUUAAGCUCGCCGCUUGGGGAGUACGGCCGCAAGGUUGAAACUUAA
rnacentral:rRNA from 1 species